rfam:Deltaproteobacteria bacterium RBG_19FT_COMBO_60_16 rbg_19ft_combo_scaffold_15728, whole genome shotgun sequence.
GUGAGUGUAGCUCAGUUGGCAGAGCACCAGGUUGUGGCCCUGGUGGCCGUGGGUUCAAUCCCCAUCACUCACC